CCCCUUUUAAAAACUCUCAAUGGGCCUUUUCCUAGUGACCCAAUGAGCCAUCAAGAAGGGGCAGAGUAAAAACACUCCUUUUGGGUGAAGUAGUAACUUGUGUUGUUUUACUUCAAUCCAUGUUGUAACAAGA
ensembl:snoRNA